rnacentral:rRNA from 1 species
AUUGAACGCUGGCGGCAGGCCUAACACAUGCAAGUCGAGCGGAUGAAGGGAGCUUGCUCGUGGAUUCAGCGGCGGACGGGUGAGUAAUGCCUAGGAAUCUGCCUGGUAGUGGGGGAUAACGUCCGGACACGGGCGCUAAUACCGCAUACGUCCUGAGGGAGAAAGUGGGGGAUCUUCGGACCUCACGCUAUCAGAUGAGCCUAGGUCGGAUUAGCUAGUUGGUGGGGUAAAGGCCUACCAAGGCGACGAUCCGUAGCUGGUCUGAGAGGAUGAUCAGUCACACUGGAACUGAGACACGGUCCAGACUCCUACGGGAGGCAGCAGUGGGGAAUAUUGGACAAUGGGCGAAAGCCUGAUCCAGCCAUGCCGCGUGUGUGAAGAAGGUCUUCGGAUUGUAAAGCACUUUUAGUUGGGAGGAAGGGCAGUAAGUUAAUACCUUGCUGUUUUGACGUUACCAACAGAAUAAGCACCGGCUAACUUCGUG